GAUGGACCGAGGCCGUCCCAGAAGGAGAUCGUCUCUCUCAGAGCCUUCAUGCUGCUGUUCCUCAAACAACUGAUACUCAAGGAUCGGGGUGUGAAGGAAGAUGAGCUACAGAGCACUCCUGAACUACUUGCUGACCAUGCAUGAGGAUGAUAAUAUCCAUGAGUUCUUCAGUUGUUUGGUGGCUCUGAUGUCAGAACACCC